GAGCUGGUGGCUCAGAGGUUAAAGCAUCUGCCUGCAAUGCGGAAGGCCUGGGUUCGACCCCUGGGUCA
rnacentral:tRNA from 1 species